UGAAUUAAACCGUGCUUAACUUAACAUUGCGCAACAUUACCUCUCUGAAUCUCCAUAAUUUCAUUAAAUUCCUUCUCUCUUCCACUGCUCAAGUUCAAUCCAGUAUAUAAAAUGACAUUAAUAGUGAAUAAACUAACAACCAGCCAUUGUAUUUAUUUAUUAUUGCAUGUAUUUGUAGUAAAACAUGAGUUGAAACAUCCUACUUUUGGAUCUAGAACUGCACAAGCCGUUCAUUUUCAGUCACCUGACGAGUUAAACUCCCCUUUUUAUGUGAGGUUGAAGCAGAAAGUCUGAGUUAACAAAGAAAGUUCUUUAUAAUUUGCGAUACCUGUUAUCUCUGACUGAGGCUUUAGUUUUUGUUGAGCUGAUUUACACGUAGAAACUUUGUUCAGGAAGAUUUCUCAGUAGCUCAGAGGACAGGCUGCUUUUUACACAACCUUGUAAGAGAAUGUCUGUCAAUGCUUUCAGCAGAAUUUAGAAACACAACACUUCCUAAACAGAUAUUUUGAGGCUGUGAGGUUGAACGUUUGAGAGUCUAUCAGUGUGUUUGUUUGUGGUCUUUCUGUUUCUAGGUGGAAGCUGAAUUAGUGAGGAUGACUCCUGCUCCUGUCAUCUCUAAGCUCCUCACACAUCUUUACCUGCACAUGAGGAAAAUCACUCCUGUAGAAUGCAGUGGUUCAUCAGAACCUCUGGGGAUGUCCUGUGGAUUCUGUGGAUCCUGUGGGUUGCAGGGUGGGUCCUACCUAGACCAGGCUGAUCCUGGACCAUCCCACAGAUGCUCCAUCAGAUCUGGAUGUGGGGAGUGUGGAACCCAGAUGUUCAGAGGGAGAUGAUGCCACAUCUGGUCCAGCUGAUGGAAGGUCUUGAAGUUCUCUGACUGGCCUCGACUGAAGAUGGUCGUCUCACUGGAUUUAAGGUUCAGAUGCUCAGUAACAAACUCCACCAAUGAGCCAACAGGGAAGCUUUAGGUUUAUUAAAUGUUGCUAUGAAGGUAUCGCUGUUUUUCUUUGUGAAUGCAAUGUGCUCCAACUGAAACUUGAAUUAGAACUUAGAAGUAAAUCCUUCCAUCUGAAAGGAUUUAGUUGCAUUAAUAACCUCAUAACAUUCUAAUUUUUAUUCCAGUCUUGGUUGGAAAUAGAAUCUCUGUAUUGAUUCAGGUAAAAACUGAACUUAACAGCAUGUUGGAGCAAAACAACCAGAUGAAAACUGUGAUGGUGUUGGAUUGUCAGACCGUAAUGUUGCAGCUCACAGCAGCUUUUCUAGCUCAGUUCAUUCUGACAUUCAGCUAUGAAUCAACACAGCAGAUGGUGAUCCAUGCUGUGGAAGUCUCACAUCUCCUGAUUUAAUGGAGCUGCUUUGCACUUUUUACACUGUUUAUUCACCAACACUUUAUUUAAUAAAAGUCCCAUCUAGUUUUUAUGAGGAAUGUGAUGUUUUAAUUUCUCUGUGAAUAACUGCAGUCUAAUGCAACAGCUGGAGUUGUAACAUCUGUCCUGAUAUUGAUCAUGAAGUAUUGAUCAGAAUACUUAUGGUUAGCAGUCAUCCCUGAAGUUUUACAUUAAAAUCUUUACUUGUGUUGUGAACUUUGGUAAGAAGCAGAAACGUUAGCGUUGCCAUGGAUACAAGAGUGUUAAAUUUUGUCCAUGUUUCCAUUUUGGGAAAUUCAGUCCAGUUCCACAAUGUGGAGGAAUUUAGUCUCACAAUCACAGACAACAAAUAUUAUCUGAGAGUCGGGUUAUUGUUGUUUAUCAGCACAAUACAAAAAGAUUAGUGUUAGAAAUAUUCCAGUUAAGACUUUAGAAUAUCAUGAUUUAUGUAAAUUUACCUCAAUAAUAUGAAUGUUCAGGUUAAGAUUGUACAGUGAUAUUUAUUAUGCAAGUUUAGCUGAUUAAAGUUUAUGACUCUGCACUAAAAUAUUAUUUAAAUUGACAUCAUUAUUAUAAUAUUUAGGGUCAGACCCUUCAGUAUUGAGAUUAAGAAAUCAAAUAUUCUAUAAAAUGUAAAUACACUGAACUCAUUUGGAUAUAUUUAAGUUAGACUCUACAAUAUCAUUUGACACAAAUCUAAAUCAAAAUUUUAAUAAUUUUCACGCCAAACAUUUACUGGACUGAUUUAAAUAUUAAAAUCACUCCUUUCUAAUCCUCUGCUGUACGUUCAAACCUGAGGCCUUAAACAGAAACACACAAGGAUCUGAUUGAAGGAACUUCUGCAGAGUCCUGGUUCCAGAACAUGAUGAUAGAAUUAUAAACAAACUUUAACAAAAGCUGCCUGAGAGUUUACAGGUUUUUAUGUUGGAUUUCUUCAGUAAUUAAAUGAGUUAUCAGCAAUAAUCAAGUGUUCAUUUGAUGAACUUCAUUUCCUAAAACAUCCAGAAUUGGAGCUCAUAUCUUUGGCAGCUGUAAAGUUUCUGCUCCUUCAAAGUUCACAACACAGUGAAUUAAUUCCUAAAACACUUAACAAUGCUGGAGAGCGUUUGUGAUGCUGAAGCAGUGAUCAGUUUUUCUGUUUCUUCUCUGGAGAUGCACAAUGAGGGACGUCUGCAGAGACUGAGAAAGAGUCUCACCACAUCCUGACAUGAGGAAAAAGACUUUAUUGAAGACUACAAUGAGAAAAACUAUCAGACAGCAGACGGCUGCAUUCAAGGCUACAGGAGGAGUCCUACGAGGACGAGCUGGUCCACCUGAUGGUGGCCAGUCGCUGCGGUUCAAAGCCAACACCGACUACGUGGACUUCUACUGGACCACACGGAGGCCUUCAAACCAGACCAACAAGUUCACCGACUCCCCGACUCGUGGGUCUGAGGACGCCGCCGAGCCUCGGUCCAGCCGGCCUCCUGUCUGUGGGUGUUUGAGUGCUGAGAGGUUUGUGGAAGCAUGUGAACGUUCUGUGUUGAAACAGCAGCUUUGGACUCAGUAACGCCGGGAAAAACCAAGAGCUCCUUUAUUUGUGACUUCCACUAAAAAACUGAUAAAAAUAACUUUGCCAGGGGUCUGACUGAUAACAGAUUAUUAAAUAAUGAAAAUAAUUGUUUAAAUAUUCCUUUAAACAAUCCUUUUAGGUCUACAUUUCCUUUACGCUGACUUCUUGGUAUAUGUUCAAGUAUUUUGGGUGGAAUAUACCAUUAAGCCCAAUGUUCAAGGGUUCUUCUGGGAAUAUACCAUUAAACCAACCUUUUAGGUAAAUGUUCCAGGAUGUUGGGUAGAAUAUACCAUCAGAUAAACCUUUUAGGUCUACAUUGGAAGAUUUUAGAGUAGAAUAUUACUCCAAACCAUCCUUUAGGUCUACAUUUAAGGUGGAAUACUCCUUUACACCAAGAUUUUUUGGUCUACAUUGAAGGAUUUUAGGUG